ACGAACGCUGGCGGCGUGCUUAACACAUGCAAGUCGAACGGAAAGGCCCUGCUUUUGUGGGGUGCUCGAGUGGCGAACGGGUGAGUAACACGUGAGUAACCUGCCCUUGACUUUGGGAUAACUUCGGGAAACUGGGGCUAAUACCGGAUAGGAGCUCCUGCUGCAUGGUGGGGGUUGGAAAGUUUCGGCGGUUGGGGAUGGACUCGCGGCUUAUCAGCUUGUUGGUGGGGUAGUGGCUUACCAAGGCUUUGACGGGUAGCCGGCCUGAGAGGGUGACCGGCCACAUUGGGACUGAGAUACGGCCCAGACUCCUACGGGAGACAGCAGUGGGGAAUAUUGCACAAUGGGCGGAAGCCUGAUGCAGCAACGCCGCGUGCGGGAUGACGGCCUUCGGGUUGUAAACCGCUUUCGCCUGUGACGAAGCGUGAGUGACGGUAAUGGGUAAAGAAGCACCGGCUAACUACGUGCCAGCAGCCGCGGUGAUACGUAGGGUGCGAGCGUUGUCCGGAUUUAUUGGGCGUAAAGGGCUCGUAGGUGGUUGAUCGCGUCGGAAGUGUAAUCUUGGGGCUUAACCCUGAGCGUGCUUUCGAUACGGGUUGACUUGAGGAAGGUAGGGGAGAAUGGAAUUCCUGGUGGAGCGGUGGAAUGCGCAGAUAUCAGGAGGAACACCAGUGGCGAAGGCGGUUCUCUGGGCCUUUCCUGACGCUGAGGAGCGAAAGCGUGGGGAGCGAACAGGCUUAGAUACCCUGGUAGUCCACGCUGUAAACGGUGGGUACUAGGUGUGGGGUCCAUUCCACGGGUUCCGUGCCGUAGCUAACGCUUUAAGUACCCCGCCUGGGGAGUACGGCCGCAAGGCUAAAACUCAAAGGAAUUGACGGGGCCCCGCACAAGCGGCGGAGCAUGCGGAUUAAUUCGAUGCAACGCGUAGAACCUUACCUGGGUUUGACAUGGAUCGGGAGUGCUCAGAGAUGGGUGUGCCUCUUUUGGGGUCGGUUCACAGGUGGUGCAUGCCUGUCGUCAGCUCGUGUCGUGAGAUGUUGGGUUAAGUCCCGCAACGAGCGCAACCCUUGUUCACUGUUGCCAGCACGUUAUGGUGGGGACUCAGUGGAGACCGCCGGGGUCAACUCGGAGGAAGGUGGGGAUGACGUCAAGUCCUCAUGCCCCUUAUGUCCAGGGCUUCACGCAUGCUACAAUGGCUGGUACAGAGAGUGGCGAGCCUGUGAGGGUGAGCGAAUCUCGGAAAGCCGGUCUCAGUUCGGAUUGGGGUCUGCAACUCGACCUCAUGAAGUCGGAGUCGCUAGUAAUCGCAGAUCAGCAACGCUGCGGUGAAUACGUUCCCGGGGCCUGUACACACCGCCCGUCAAGUCAUGAAAGUUGGUAACACCCGAAGCCGGUGGCCUAACCGUUGUGGGGGAGCCGUCGAAGGUGGGACUGGUGAUUAGG
rnacentral:rRNA from 1 species